rnacentral:rRNA from 1 species
CAGUAGCCGCGGUAAUACGAGGGGGGCAAGCGUUGUUCGGAAUUAUUGGGCGUAAAGGGUGCGUAGGCGGUCUGACAAGUCUGAUGUGAAAUCUAUGGGCUCAACCCAUAGUCUGCAUCGGAAACUGUCGGGCUUGAGUAUGGGAGAGGUGAGUGGAAUUUCCGGUGUAGCGGUGAAAUGCGUAGAUAUCGGAAGGAACACCUGUGGCGAAAGCGGCUCACUGGACCAUUACUGACGCUGAGGCACGAAAGCUAGGGGAGCAAACAGGAUUAGAUACACCGGUAGUCCCUGUCUCUUAUAC